rnacentral:ribozyme from 1 species
AGGAAGGAAGACAAGCCCCGAAAAACCAGCAAACCGACAGGAAGCACAUGGGUGUUUGUGUUUUAUUAUCAGAAUGAAGAUGAUCUUUUUUUUUUUUUUUUUUUUUU